rnacentral:rRNA from 1 species
GGCUUAGAAGCAGCCAUCCUUUAAAGAAAGCGUAAUAGCUCACUAGUCGAGUCGGUCUGCGCGGAAGAUGUAACGGGGCUAAACUAGUCACCGAAGCUGCGGAUUCAAUCUUAGGAUUGAGUGGUAGGGGAGCGUUCUGUAAGCCGUUGAAGGUGUGUUGUAAAGCAUGCUGGAGGUAUCAGAAGUGCGAAUGCUGACAUGAGUAACGAUAAGGGGAGUGAAAAACUCCCCCGCCGAAAGACCAAGGUUUCCUGUCCCAUGUUAAUCAGGGCAGGGUAAGUCGGCCCCUAAGGCGAGGCGGAAACGCGUAGUCGAUGGGAAACAGAUUAAUAUUUCUGUACUUCUAUAUAUUGCGAAGGAGGGACGGAGUAGGCUAGGUGAGCACGGCGUUGGUAGUCCGUGUGAAAGUAUGUAGGCGGUUGUCUUAGGUAAAUCCGGGACUUCAUUAACGCUGAGAUACGAGACGAGACUCUACGGAGUUGAAGUCAUUGAUGCCAUGCUUCCAGGAAAAGCUUCUAAGCUUCAGAUAUAUAGGAACCGUACCCCAAACCGACACAGGUGGUUAGGUAGAGAAUACUAAGGCGCUUGAGAGAACUCGGGUGAAGGAACUAGGCAAAAUAGUACCGUAACUUCGGGAGAAGGUACGCUCUCUAAUGUGAAUGACUUGCUCAGUAAGCAUCGGAGAGUCGAAGUAACCAGGUGGCUGGAACUGUUUAUUAAAAACACAGCACUGUGCAAAAUCGAAAGAUGACGUAUACGGUGUGACGCCUGCCCGGUGCCGGAAGGUUAAUUGAUUGGGUUAGCUCUGCGAAGCUCAUGAUCGAAGCCCCGGUAAACGGCGGCCGUAACUAUAACGGUCCUAAGGUAGCGAAAUUCCUUGUCGGGUAAGUUCCGACCUGCACGAAUGGCGUAAUCAUGGCCACACUGUCUCCACCCGAGACUCAGUGAAAUUGAAAUUGCGGUUAAGAUGCCGUAUACCCGCGGCUAGACGGAAAGACCCCGUGAACCUUUACUAUAGCUUGACAGUGAACAUUGCUCCUACAUGUGUAGGAUAGGUGGGAGGCUUUGAAACCGCGUCGCUAGAUGCGGUGGAGCCAACCUUGAAAUACCACCCUUGUAUGCGUGAUGUUCUAACCUAGGGCCCUUAUCGGGCUUGGGGACACUGUCUGGUGGGUAGUUUGACUGGGGCGGUCUCCUCCCAAAGAGUAACGGAGGAGCACG